UACGUAGGGCGCAAGCGUUGUCCGGAAUUAUUGGGCGUAAAGAGCUCGUAGGCGGCUUGUCACGUCGGUUGUGAAAGCCCGGGGCUUAACCCCGGGUCUGCAGUCGAUACGGGCAGGCUAGAGUGUGGUAGGGGUAGGGGGAACGAGCAGUGUAGCGGUGAAAUGCGUAGAUAUUGCUCGGAAGGCCAGAGCCGAAGGGGCCCUACUGGUGCGCAACUGACACUGAGGCACGAAAGCGUGGGGAGCAAACAGG
rnacentral:rRNA from 1 species